ACAAUAAAAUUGAUCCGAUUUCGUACGCCUACAGCGCCCGCCAUGGAGUACGAAACGAUAGGGUACGUCUGAAAACGGACGUGCCUCCCAUUGAGGAAAGGAGGAAAACUUAAUGAAAC
rnacentral:ncRNA from 2 species